CUUGGUCAUUUAGAGGAAGUAAAAGUCGUAACAAGGUUUCCGUAGGUGAACCUGCGGAAGGAUCAUUCAUAAUAAGUGUUUUAUGGCACUUUUUAAAUCCAUAUCCACCUUGUGUGCAAUGUCAGUCGAUCUUCCUCAUGGAGAUCGACCAAACAUCAACCUUUAUUUUUUAACUCUUUGUCUGAAAAAUAUUAUGAAUAAACAAUUCAAAAUAUAACUUUCAACAACGGAUCUCUUGGCUCUCGCAUCGAUGAAGAACGCAGCGAAAUGCGAUACGUAAUGUGAAUUGCAGAAUUCAGUGAAUCAUCGAAUCUUUGAACGCAUAUUGCGCUCUUUGGUAUUCCGAAGAGCAUGCUUGUUUGAGUAUCAGUAAACACCUCAACCUCUCUUUUUUGAUAAAAAAAAGGGAGGGUGGACUUGAGCUAUCCCAACGACCUUCACCGGUAGGCGGGCGGCUUGAAAUGCAGGUGCAGCUGGACUUUUAUCUGAGCUAAAAGCAUAUCUAUUUAGUCCUCGUCAAACAGGAUUAUUACUUUUGCUGCAGCUAACAUAAAGGAUAAUUGUCCUCUUUGCUGACUGAUGCAGGAUUUUACGACACUUUAUGUGUUGUUCAACUCGAUCUCAAAUCAAGUAAGACUACCCGCUGAACUUAAGCAUAUCAAUAAGCGGAGGAAAAGAAACUAACAAGGAUUCCCCUAGUAACGGCGAGUGAAGCGGGAUGAGCUCAAAUUUGAAAUCUGGCUGGUUUACUAGUCCGAGUUGUAAUUUAAAGAAGCGUUUUCGGUGGCAGCCUGGGUAUAAAUCCUUUGGAAUAGGGUAUCAUAGAGGGUGAGAAUCCCGUCUUUGACCUAGUGCAUGCUACUAUGUGAUACGUUUUCAAAGAGUCGAGUUGUUUGGGAAU
rnacentral:sRNA from 1 species